GACGAACGCUGGCGGCGUGCCUAAUACAUGCAAGUCGAACGCUUCUUUCCUCCCGAGUGCUUGCACUCAAUUGGAAAGAGGAGUGGCGGACGGGUGGGUAACACGUGGGUAACCUACCCAUCAGAGGGGGAUGACACUUGGAAACAGGUGCUAAUACCGCAUAACAGUUUAUGCCGCAUGGCAUAAGAGUGAAAGGCGCUUUCGGGUGUCGCUGAUGGAUGGACCCGCGGUGCAUUAGCUAGUUGGUGAGGUAACGGCUCACCAAGGCCACGAUGCAUAGCCGACCUGAGAGGGUGAUCGGCCACACUGGGACUGAGACACGGCCCAGACUCCUACGGGAGGCAGCAGUAGGGAAUCUUCGGCAAUGGACGAAAGUCUGACCGAGCAACGCCGCGUGAGUGAAGAAGGUUUUCGGAUCGUAAAACUCUGUUGUUAGAGAAGAACAAGGACGUUAGUAACUGAACGUCCCCUGACGGUAUCUAACCAGAAAGCCACGGCUAACUACGUG
rnacentral:rRNA from 1 species